rnacentral:rRNA from 1 species
UACGUAGGGAGCAAGCGUUGUUCGGAUUUACUGGGCGUAAAGGGCGCGUAGGCGGCGCGGUAAGUCACUUGUGAAAUCCCUGAGCUUAACUCAGAACGGCCAAGUGAUACUGUAGUGCUAGAGUGCAGAAAGGGCAAUCGGAAUUCUUGGUGUAGCGGUGAAAUGCGUAGAUAUCAAGAGGAACACCUGAGGCGAAGGCGGGUUGCUAGGCUGACACUGACGCUGAUGCGCGAAAGCCAGGGGAGCGAACGGG